AUACGUAGGGGGCGAGCGUUGUCCGGAAUGAUUGGGCGUAAAGGGCGCGUAGGCGGCGCGGUAAGUCUGGAGUGAAAGUCCUGCUUUCAAGGUGGGAAUUGCUUUGGAUACUGCCGCGCUUGAGUGCAGGAGAGGUUAUCGGAAUUCCCGGUGUAGCGGUGAAAUGCGUAGAGAUCGGGAGGAACACCAGUGGCGAAGGCGGGUAACUGGACUGCAACUGACGCUGAGGCGCGAAAGUGUGGGGAGCAAACAGGAUUAGAUACCCUGGUAGUCCACGCUGUAAACGAUGAAUACUAGGUGUGGGGGGACUGACCCCCUCCGUGCCGCAGUUAACACAAUAAGUAUUCCACCUGGGGAGUACGAUCGCAAGAUUGAAACUCAAAUGAAUUGGCGGGG
rnacentral:rRNA from 1 species